rnacentral:rRNA from 1 species
UACAGAGGUCUCGAGCGUUAGGCGGAAUCACUGGGCUUAAAGCGUGUGUAGGCGGAUCGUUAAGUACCUUGUGAAAUCCCACGGCUCACCCGUGGAACUGCUGGGUAUACUGGGGGUCUUGGGCCAUUCAGGGGCAACUGGAACAAGCGGUGGAGCGGUGAAAUGCGUAGAUAUCGCUUGGAACGCCGACGGUGAAAACAGGUUGCUGGGGAUGCGCCGACGCUGAGACACGAAAGCCAGGGGAGCAAACGGG